rnacentral:rRNA from 1 species
AGUGAACGCUGGCGGUAGGCCUAACACAUGCAAGUCGAACGGCGGCACAGUAAGAGCUUGCUCUUACGGGUGGCGAGUGGCGGACGGGUGAGGAAUACAUCGGAAUCUACUUUUUCGUGGGGGAUAACGUAGGGAAACUUACGCUAAUACCGCAUACGACCUACGGGUGAAAGCAGGGGAUCUUCGGACCUUGCGCGAUUGAAUGAGCCGAUGUCGGAUUAGCUAGUUGGCGGGGUAAAGGCCCACCAAGGCGACGAUCCGUAGCUGGUCUGAGAGGAUGAUCAGCUACACUGGAACUGAGACACGGUCCAGACUCCUACGGGAGGCAGCAGUGGGGAAUAUUGGACAAUGGGCGCAAGCCUGAUCCAGCCAUACCGCGUGGGUGAAGAAGGCCUUCGGGUUGUAAAGCCCUUUUGUUGGGAAAGAAAAGCAGCAGGUUAAUACCCCGCUGUUCUGACGGUACCCAAAGAAUAAGCACCGGCUAACUUCGUG